rnacentral:rRNA from 1 species
GCAAUGGACGAAAGUCUGACGGAGCAACGCCGCGUGAACGAUGAAGGCCUUCGGGUCGUAAAGUUCUGUUGUUAGGGAAGAACAAGUACCAGAGUAACUGCUGGUACCUUGACGGUACCUAACCAGAAAGCCACGGCUAACUACGUGCCAGCAGCCGCGGUAAUACGUAGGUGGCAAGCGUUGUCCGGAAUUAUUGGGCGUAAAGCGUACGCAGGCGGUUUCUUAAGUCUGAUGUGAAAGCCCACGGCUCAACCGUGGAGGGUCAUUGGAAACUGGGGAACUUGAGUACAGAAGAGGAGAGUGGAAUUCCACGUGUAGCGGUGAAAUGCGUAGAGAUGUGGAGGAACACCAGUGGCGAAGGCGACUCUCUGGUCUGUAACUGACGCUGAGGUACGAAAGCGUGGGGAGCGAACAGGAUUAGAUACCCUGGUAGUGCACGCCGUAAACGAUGAGUGCUAAGUGUUAGAGGGUUUCCGCCCUUUAGUGCUGCAGCAAACGCAUUAAGCACUCCGCCUGGGGAGUACGGUCGCAAGACUGAAACUCAAAUGAAUUGACG